AACGCUAGCUACAGGCUUAACACAUGCAAGUCGAGGGGCAGCAUUUCAGUUUGCUUGCAAACUGGAGAUGGCGACCGGCGCACGGGUGAGUAACACGUAUCCAACCUGCCGAUAACUCGGGGAUAGCCUUUCGAAAGAAAGAUUAAUACCCGAUGGUAUAAUCAGACCGCAUGGUCUUGUUAUUAAAGAAUUUCGGUUAUCGAUGGGGAUGCGUUCCAUUAGGCAGUUGGUGAGGUAACGGCUCACCAAACCUUCGAUGGAUAGGGGUUCUGAGAGGAAGGUCCCCCACAUUGGAACUGAGACACGGUCCAAACUCCUACGGGAGGCAGCAGUGAGGAAUAUUGGUCAAUGGGCGCAGGCCUGAACCAGCCAAGUAGCGUGAAGGAUGACUGCCCUAUGGGUUGUAAACUUCUUUUAUAUGGGAAUAAAGUUUUCCACGUGUGGAAUUUUGUAUGUACCAUAUGAAUAAGGAUCGGCUAACUCCGUGCCAGCAGCCGCGGUAAUACGGAGGAUCCGAGCGUUAUCCGGAUUUAUUGGGUUUAAAGGGAGCGUAGGUGGACAGUUAAGUCAGUUGUGAAAGUUUGCGGCUCAACCGUAAAAUUGCAGUUGAUACUGGCUGUCUUGAGUACAGUAGAGGUGGGCGGAAUUCGUGGUGUAGCGGUGAAAUGCUUAGAUAUCACGAAGAACUCCGAUUGCGAAGGCAGCUCACUGGACUGCAACUGACACUGAUGCUCGAAAGUGUGGGUAUCAAACAGGAUUAGAUACCCUGGUAGUCCACACAGUAAACGAUGAAUACUCGCUGUUUGCGAUAUACAGUAAGCGGCCAAGCGAAAGCAUUAAGUAUUCCACCUGGGGAGUACGCCGGCAACGGUGAAACUCAAAGGAAUUGACGGGGGCCCGCACAAGCGGAGGAACAUGUGGUUUAAUUCGAUGAUACGCGAGGAACCUUACCCGGGCUUAAAUUGCAUUUGAAUAUAUUGGAAACAGUAUAGCCGUAAGGCAAAUGUGAAGGUGCUGCAUGGUUGUCGUCAGCUCGUGCCGUGAGGUGUCGGCUUAAGUGCCAUAACGAGCGCAACCCUUAUCUUUAGUUACUAACAGGUCAUGCUGAGGACUCUAGAGAGACUGCCGUCGUAAGAUGUGAGGAAGGUGGGGAUGACGUCAAAUCAGCACGGCCCUUACGUCCGGGGCUACACACGUGUUACAAUGGGGGGUACAGAAGGCAGCUACCUGGUGACAGGAUGCUAAUCCCAAAAGCCUCUCUCAGUUCGGAUCGAAGUCUGCAACCCGACUUCGUGAAGCUGGAUUCGCUAGUAAUCGCGCAUCAGCCAUGGCGCGGUGAAUACGUUCCCGGGCCUUGUACACACCGCCCGUCAAGCCAUGAAAGCCGGGGGUACCUGAAGUACGUAACCGCAAGGAGCGUCCUAGGGUAAAACUGGUAAUUGGGGCUAA
rnacentral:rRNA from 1 species